rnacentral:rRNA from 1 species
UACGUAGGGUGCUAGCGUUAUUCGGAUUCACUGGGCGUAAAGGGUGCGCAGGCGGCCAAGUGUGUCAGGUGUGAAAUCCCGAGCUUAACCUCGGAACUGCGCCUGAAACUACUUGGCUAGAGUACUGGAGAGGGUAACGGAAUUCACGGUGUAGCAGUGAAAUGCGUAGAUAUCGUGAGGAACACCAGAGGCGAAGGCGGUUACCUGGACAGUUACUGACGCUCAGGCACGAAAGCGUGGGGAGCAAAAGGG